AAUAUAAUUGCCGUUCUAAGAAGAAUCUGAGGCCUCUAGGAGAUCUGCCAGUAGUGGCCCCAAUGUAUAACAGCACUAGCUCAGUGAAGAGAGAGAGAAAAGAUCUGAAGAGAGUGGUUGCAGUUUGAGCUCUGUCAAUGGGACAGUCCUGGGCAGGAGACUGGGGAGAAGAGGCGGCUUGCUGGUUUUCCUGAACCACUUCCACCCUGAAAGACUCCUUGCAUACAAUCAUCAGAGAAGAACCGUGGGAACCAAGAACCAUGAGCAGGAGAACCAUGAGCACACUGUUCGCAAUGGCCAAGAUUUGGAG
rnacentral:lncRNA from 1 species